rnacentral:rRNA from 1 species
CAGUCGCCACGGGAAUACGAAGGGGGCUAGCGUUGCUCGGAAUUACUGGGCGUAAAGCGCGUGUAGGCGGGCUUUUAAGUCAGGGGUGAAAUGCCAAGGCUCAACCUUGGAACUGCCUUUGAUACUGGAAGUCUUGAGUCCGGGAGAGGUGAGUGGAACUGCGAGUGCAGAGGUGAAAUUCGUAGAUAUUCGCAAGAACACCAGUGGCGAAGGCGGCUCACUGGCCCGGAACUGACGCUGAGACGCGAAAGCGUGGGGAGCAAACAGGAUUAGAUACCCCCGUAGUCCCUGUCUCUUAUAC